UACGUAGGGGCCGAGCGUUGUCCGGAGUUAUUGGGCGUAAAGCGCGCGCAGGCGGCUUCGCGCGCCCGCCGUGAAAGCCCCCGGCUUAACCGGGGAGAGUCGGUGGGGACGGCGGAGCUUGAGGGCGGGAGAGGUCGGUGGAAUUCCCGGUGGUAGUGGUGAAAUGCGUAGAGAUCGGGAGGAACACCUGUGGCGAAGGCGGCCGGACUGGGCCCGACCCUGACGC
rnacentral:rRNA from 1 species